UGAAGCUGGAAUUGCUAGUAAUGGCAGGUCAGCAUACUGCCGUGAAUACGUUCCCGGGCCUUGUACACACCGCCCGUCACACCAUGAGAGUUGGGAAUACCCGAAGCCUGUGAGCUAACUUUUAAGAGGCAGCAGUCGAAGGUAGAAUCAAUGAUUGGGGUGAAGUCGUAACAAGGUAUC
rnacentral:rRNA from 1 species